rnacentral:rRNA from 1 species
UAACGCGUAGGAAUCUGCCUAUUAGUGGGGGACAACAUGGUGAAAACCAUGCUAAUACCGCAUACGCCCUACGGGGGAAAGCGGGGGAUCUUCGGACCUCGCACUAUUGGAUGAGCCCACGUUAGAUUAGCUUGUUGGUGGGGUAAAGGCCUACCAAGGCGACAAUCUAUAGCUGGUCUGAGAGGAUGAUCAGCCACACUGGGACUGAGACACGGCCCAGACUCC